rnacentral:tRNA from 1 species
CUCCUCAUAGUUCAAUUGGAUAGAACGGGGCCGUCCUAAGGCUUAAAUCCAAGUUCAACUCUUGGUGGGGAGA